UACGAAGGGGGGCUAGCGUUGCUCGGAAUGACUGGGCGUAAAGGGCGCGUAGGCGGCUUGCACCGUCAGAUGUGAAAUUCCUGGGCUUAACCUGGGGGGCUGCAUUUGAUACGUGUGGGCUUGAGUGCGGAAGAGGGUCGUGGAAUUCCCCAGUGUAGAGGUGAAAUUCGUAGAUAUUGGGGAAGAACACCGAUGGCGAAGGCAGGUCUCUGGGCCAUUACUGACACUGAGAAGCGAAAGCAUGGGGAGCGAACAGG
rnacentral:rRNA from 1 species